rnacentral:rRNA from 1 species
CUACGGGUCGCUGCAGUGGGGAAUAUUGGACAAUGGGCGAAAGCCUGAUCCAGCAAUGCCGCGUGAGUGAUGAAGGCCUUAGGGUUGUAAAGCUCUUUUACCAGGGAUGAUAAUGACAGUACCUGGAGAAUAAGCUCCGGCUAACUCCGUGCCAGCAGCCGCGGUAAUACGGAGGGAGCUAGCGUUGUUCGGAAUUACUGGGCGUAAAGCGCACGUAGGCGGCUUUUCAAGUCAGGGGUGAAAUCCCGGGGCUCAACCCCGGAACUGCCCUUGAAACUGGAUGGCUAGAAUACUGGAGAGGUGAGUGGAAUUCCGAGUGUAGAGGUGAAAUUCGUAGAUAUUCGGAAGAACACCAGUGGCGAAGGCGACUCACUGGACAGUUAUUGACGCUGAGGUGCGAAAGCGUGGGGAGCAAACAGGAUUAGAUACCCCCGUAGUC